rnacentral:rRNA from 1 species
AUGAGGAAAAAUUUAUUGGAAUUUAUGAUUACAACGUAUGAUAGUAGUAGAAAGCGAUUUAUUAUUCGGCCAAAUACUGACGGCAUCAGUGUGCUUAAUGAAGAUGUUUAUGACAUAUUCGGGAUACGUAACGAGAGUGAUGAUGUCAGUAGCAUGAUAGCAACAGUACAACUAGAUGCCAAAAAAAUUUCAUAUGAUGAUGAUUUUGUGAGAAGGGCCGUACUGGUUCUUAUGGGUACAGUCUUAGCACCACAAUCCACCAAGUUUGUUCCUUAUCGUUAUUACAAAAUGGUGGAGGACGUGAACGCUAUCAAGUCAUACAAUUGGAACGAUUUCACGUUGAGGGUGUGCAUGGAUGCUAUUAAAAAAUCGGUCGAAGAUCUUGAAAAAUUCAAGUGGCCUAUCGGGAACUUGGCUCUUCUUUAG